rnacentral:ribozyme from 11 species
CAUACCAAGCAAAGGGAAAAAAAAAAAAAAAAAAAAAAAAAACAUCGUCUGCAUCAUUGUCUGCUU